CAGUAACAUUUCACUUAAGAAGUAUUUAUUGAACGUUUUAGUAUAGUUAAGGUGUCUUUUAUUUUGAAGGAUGUAACCGGAUGUUCCUGUCUUCACCUGGCUGGCUUCACCAUGGCUUUAAACUCUUUGCCAAGUAGGAGCGACUCUUCCUGAAUUAAUGAUGACGGGGUCAGGAACAUGUCGAUAUCUCACCGACACGAAGGCGGGGAAAAGUUUAAGGCGGCCAUUUUCUCACCUUGAGUCAAUCUGUGACCAGGACGCCCGGUCAGCAGCGUCCCCGCGGGAACUCCCAGCUCUCUGACCGGCUGUGCUGCGUUCACUCACCCGGGAGGAAACCGCCCGAACCACCAGGUACAUGGUGGUCAGGAGGGUCAGCAUGGUCCCGACGGUCUGUAGGGUCCCCCUUCACUGAAGACUGGCGAAGCAGGAAUGGCGUCUGGACCAGAAUCGGUACCGAGAGGGAGAGAGAGAGACUCCCCCACAGAGAGAGAGAGAGAGAGACGUACACGUCAGGCCGUGUGGGAUAACUUCCAAGUCCCUGAGAUUAUAUCUAAGUUACUGCCGGGAAAGACGAGCCACUACCUGAGGACUGGAGGAAGUCAAUGAGGAAACGAGUGUCACAAUGAGGUCCACUGAGGUCCAAAUCCAAGGUCAGGAUCGAGUCAAAGCCCAGGUCGCAAAGGUCAUACAGCACCGUGCUGCUGAGGCUGUCACUCCUUCCUGCAGCCAGCAGAGGGCGCCACAUGCAUGAGGAAUACAGCUCAUUUGAAGGACUGCAGGCGGACUGACUGCAGGUGGACUGAGUGAAGCCGAAGGUUCACAGGGGGUGAAGUAGUCCCUCCUUAUGUUGGUUCCCACAGCUGGGUGAUAUCCCUCCUCCUCGUGUAGAACUGGUUUUAAACUCAACACAUAAUCAUCCUGUAAUUACCAACAGAAGAGCGACGUGGCAUCUUUGAAGAACUAAAGAUUCAGAUUUCUUUCAGUUCAUGACUUUUUUUAAAAUUCUCAAAUCUUU